rnacentral:rRNA from 1 species
GAUGAACGCUGGCGGCGUGCCUAAUACAUGCAAGUCGAGCGAACGGACGAGAAGCUUGCUUUUCUGAUGUUAGCGGCGGACGGGUGAGUAACACGUGGAUAACCUACCUAUAAGACUGGGAUAACUUCGGGAAACGGGAGCUAAUACCGGAUAAUAUUUUGAACCGCAUGGUUCAAAAGUGAAAGACGGUCUUGCUGUCACUUAUAGAUGGAUCCGCGCUGCAUUAGCUAGUUGGUAAGGUAACGGCUUACCAAGGCAACGAUGCAUAGCCGACCUGAGAGGGUGAUCGGCCACACUGGAACUGAGACACGGUCCAGACUCCUACGGGAGGCAGCAGUAGGGAAUCUUCCGCAAUGGGCGAAAGCCUGACGGAGCAACGCCGCGUGAGUGAUGAAGGUCUUCGGAUCGUAAAACUCUGUUAUUAGGGAAGAACAUAUGUGUAAGUAACUGUGCACAUCUUGACGGUACCUAAUCAGAAAGCCACGGCUAACUACGUG